rnacentral:rRNA from 1 species
CGUGCUUAACACAUGCAAGUCGAACGGAAAGGCUCCUUGCUUGCAAGGGUACUCGAGUGGCGAACGGGUGAGUAACACGUGGGUGAUCUGCCUUGCACUUCGGGAUAAGCCUGGGAAACUGGGUCUAAUACCGGAUAGGACCAUGCUUUAGUGUGUGUGGUGGAAAGUUUUUUCGGUGCAAGAUGAGCCCGCGGCCUAUCAGCUUGUUGGUGGGGUAAUGGCCUACCAAGGCGACGACGGGUAGCCGGCCUGAGAGGGUGUACGGCCACAUUGGGACUGAGACACGGCCCAGACUCCUACGGGAGGCAGCAGUGGGGAAUAUUGCACAAUGGGCGCAAGCCUGAUGCAGCGACGCCGCGUGGGGGAUGACGGCCUUCGGGUUGUAAACUCCUUUCGCUAGGGAAGAAGCCACUGUGUGGUGACGGUACCUGGAUAAGAAGCACCGGCUAACUACGUGCCAGCAGCCGCGGUAAUACGUAGGGUGCGAGCGUUGUCCGGAAUUACUGGGCGUAAAGAGCUCGUAGGUGGUUUGUCGCGUCGUCUGUGAAAUCCCGGGGCUUAACUUCGGGCGUGCAGGCGAUACGGGCAUAACUAGAGUGCUGUAGGGGAGACUGGAAUUCCUGGUGUAGCGGUGAAAUGCGCAGAUAUCAGG